UUUCGACACGUAUCAAAUGACAUUGUUAACCGUACAGCUGAUGCCUAUAAUCGCAUUUUGCGUGGGUAGUGUUGUGGAAUCCAUGUCAUCAUACUGUGUAUAACUGUGGUGCGAGUUCUGCGCACGCGCCGGUUUUAGUUACCGAUCUAUGUCAAUUAGCGUUGUGCACAAAGGUCCUAUAGUAUUUGGCACAAGUUUAUUUAUUGUAUUGGCUUUGACGAUAUGGCGUCACCAAACUCUGAUAAGAAACCUCCUCGCUACAGCUGCAAAUACUGGUGCAACGAUUGCUGUAGAAGUUGGACAACAUUCAAAUUAGAACCAGAGAAAAUUAAUAAAUGUGAUAACUGCAAGAACAAGGCGCCUGUGACCGAGGUACCUGAUAGACAAUAUUAAAUAAGGAACAAAAUGCAUCACGCCUCUAUCAGUGAAUGGGUAGCCAGCGAUGCAAAUAAUAGAGGCUGAGUCCAUCGAUGUUAAUAAUACAAAAAGAAAUCGUAAAUCACUGAAUCUUAACUGCAUCCUUCAGUAAAAUAAAAGCAACAGUCAGAGGCAAAAUACUAUUGUAAUGCUGUCAACUGGUUACUACGGACUACAGUCUAAAAUUAAAUUAUUUUGCGCAUUUUAUCCCGGUUUUUAUAUUAUAAUUUCCUCCCGACGUUUCGAAGACUUUGCAGCCCAGGUCACGGGGCGGACUGAACUGUUGGUCAUCCGAAAAGUCUAAAUUACAAUAUCUACCUACAUUUUACUAUUAUAUUUUUAAAAAAAAUUAGCUGUUGCCGUUCCGAUUUACGCAGAAUGAGUUCAUUUUCUUGAAGCCUGGCAGCCAGUAUUUUGGGUACCGAUUUAAGUAAGUGUAGAACUGGAUCCCAGGGUUAUGCAAGCUUCCAACCAUCUCUGAUGAAAUUCGGAUGUAUCUUAAAUUUUAACAGUCUCGCGAAUGAUUCGAGACAGGAAUCGAUGUUCUUUGGCAAGGAUUUGUGGCUUGUCUAGUCACAGAUAAUGAUUGCGGACUACAGUCUAUUCCCGUCAAGAAAGUAUUGAGCUAUUACUAAUCAUCAGCCUAGCAAGGUUUAUUUUAUAGAAGAUUAAGAAAAAAAAAUAUAUUAUAUUUGGAAACAAUUUUAAAAAAUUAGUUAGGACAUUAGGUAUGAAAAGCAAAAAAAGAAAUGGAUCCACCUUUAUGCAACGCUAAUUUUGUGUUGAACCCAUAAAGGAUUUAUUUAGCAAAUAGAAAGGAAGUAGAAGGAAGAAACAUAUAAAACGCGGUAAACAAACAAAGGGGUAAAAAGAAAAUCAAACUUAGACCUAUUUAUACCUAACCUCUCCUAACUGUCCCCCAGGACCCUGCAGUGGCUAAGCGGGGGAUUCCAGUAUCCCAUUCGCGCGUUUCUCCCGGCGUCGACUGCGGGGUACUGAUACCAAAAAAAAAACUCUCAAAAUGCCUAGUAAUGACACUGGCUACAAUGUCCUUCAAAUUCCUUCACAACAAAAUGUAAUACAACUUUGUUUACACAGUCUUGCUUGGCGGCAGAAUUAGACGUUGCGGUGGUACCUACCCAGCCGGACUCUCAUAUACUGUAACGGUCUACCUUAGACUGAAAAUAGAAAAAUAUGAUAAUGCUCUACGAAAUAUUUUAUUUCAAGUUAUUCCCCGCCCAUAGAGGUGACGCAGUGAAUAGAAGCUAAUCGAUUCCCUAUUCGAUUCGAUUUAACAUAGCUAGCGAAAAUUAGGUACGUAGCAGGGCUUGCACCUCUGCCUACCCCCGAAAAGGAUAAUUGGCGUGAUGAAAAUGAAAUGCUCCUAGCCGAAUUUUCGACCACGGCGGCCAAUUUCAACAGAAAUCAGCCAGGUACACAGGAUCUAUUAUAGUGCACAAGUGUGUGCGCAAUACACAAGCACUCUCUGUUCCUUCACUCUCAUAGUCCGGUGAGACAGCAAUCCGUUAUGAGCGGAGAGAGAUCAGGCGUAGGACCAACGGCUUUACGUGCUUUCCGAGGCACGGGGGUAUGACACCAACUUCCUGACUCCGAGCUGCGACUGAGUAAUGUUGUUAAGAUAGAAAAUCCAGUCACAAUUAUUUCACCCGACCCAGGAUUCGAACCAAUGAUCUCGGCGCAGUAGACGUACUCGUACUGUGUAUAAUUAUAACUACACCAUCGAGGCAGUCAACAACAUUUUCACUUAUUCCCCGACCAUAGACUUAACCUAGUGGAUAGAAAAUUAAUCGAUUUACCAUUCGAAUAGAGAUCUAAUGUGGCUAUGGAAUAAAUAUGUACGACUUGCAUCUCUACCUAUACCUGUAAAGGUACAAAGUCAUUGUUACGUGCUGCUAUCCUAGCCGAUGACAUCGGGCGUUUCCGGAAGUAUUCGGCUGCGCGGGCAGGCUGGCAGAAGGGAUGUGUCACGCGGCGACUAUUAUAUCAUUCUCUCUGGUUGCACGUAGUCAAAAUAAAUAUUUUUUGCUAAUAUAAUGUUUAAUACUGUAAAAAGAGCGUUUAAAAUUAUAGUCUCAAUUCAAUAAUUUUUUUAUUUAACACUGAAUUCGUGACAUUUUCUAGUAAUUCCCCGUCCAUAAAGUUUUCUGAAUAACCUUUCGCAUCACUACUCAAAGAGAUGUUUAUAUUUAUAAUGAACAGCGAAAUCACUUCAGUCGAUCGUCAGUUUGCGACUUGGAACGACCGUUGAAUUUGAGUGCGGACAAAGUUCAUUUAAUAUUUUUGAAAAUGAGCUCAUCGUACACUGGAUCAGGUCGUUGCUUCGGCGAGUAUCGCUGCAAAAAUGCAACCGUAUGUGGAUGAGCGGGAACUCAUGGGUCGGAUAUGGGCAAGAGUGCACCAACUGCAAGAUAAUGGUCAUGCCACACAAACAGACCCCAUUGGAAAAGCCCGAUGGUCUCGACAAGAGUGACUUGGAAAAGCCUCAUCCGCAGGAGCUUUGCCAGAAAUGCAAAGCUUUGGGAAGGUGCUGUAGGACGGAUUAUAAUUAAAGCUUUUUUUUAAUUGAUCAAAGUUUUUCGAGUUUGCAAGCGUUAGCUAUGUUCCAAUUCUAUAAAUUAAAAAUGUAAGCAUUUAACAAAGUUUUUGAAACUAAUUUUUAUUUAACAAUCGAGAUUUUCUUGGACGGCACUCCACUUACCAUCAGGUGUAGAGGGGUCACUUUGCCGUCUGUGUACCCAUCCUUUUCUCGUAGGUAGUAAAUACAAAAUAAUAGUUAAUUCUUAUAAGUGUGCACACUGUACAACCCUCUUAAGAAUCAUGUAAUAAUUUGAUGUUAAAAUAAUCCAAUGGCA